rnacentral:lncRNA from 1 species
AAACUCUCAACUAGGGAUUGGAUCCCUAUGUUGGCAAAAGGCGAUUAGGGGAUGGAGGCCCUAUGUCUUAACUCUCAACUAAGGAUUGGAGCCCUAUGUUGGCAAAAGGUGACUAGGGGAUGGAGGCCCUAUGUCUAAAAUCUCAACUAGGGAUUGGAGCCCUAUGUUGGCAAAAGGCGACUAGGGAAUAGAGGCCCUAUGUCUAAAAUCUCAAUUAGGGAUUGGAGCCCUAUGUUGGCAAAAGGCGAUUAGGGAAUGGAGGCCCUAUGUCUAAAAAUCUCAACUAGGGAUUGGAGCCCUAUGUUGGCAAAAGGCGACUAGGGAAUGGAGGCCCUAUGUCUAAAAAUCUCAAC